rnacentral:lncRNA from 1 species
AGACAAAUCUUGCGGUUUGAUCAGCAAGUGGAGAUAACAACAAAAUCCCGGAGUUUUAUGCAUAUAUAUAUUUCUUCAGCGUUUUGGCAGUUAGAGCUAAUUCAUCCAUAGCAAUCCUUGCAAUUAGUCUAAUCAAGUCAUCACUGAAUUAGCCUUUCAUUGUUCAUCAGUUCUCACCUGCAAACCUUAAUGUUCAGGGAUGUAACCCUCUUGCUGAUCAUCGUCAGAUGCAUAUAUUUGAAGAUAAAGAAACCGUAUCCUAUCUUUUCUUUUUUUUCUUCGAACACGUAAAAGAUUUAUACGUAAAUAUAUGCAUAUAUGAUCUAAAUCCCAGCUAACAUCAUCAAAUCAGAGGGGUUAUAGUUAAUUAGGAACACAGCAAAGGCAUAUAUGCAUUUGUGCGCAAGGGUGCAACACCUGUGAUCGAGGCAACUGAUUAAUCACUUAAUUUACAAUAGCCACUGGUUUAUUCUUAAUUGUACAUCUAGUAGAAAAGACAUGCGUGGCCGCUCUCGAGAGAGAAGAAGACGACGACGACGAAGAAAGAAAAAGGAAAGAAAGAAAGAAAGUAAAAGAAGGAAGACGACGAGGAGGAAGAAAGAAGAAGAGAAGAAUCUCCGAAGCACAAAUCAAAGCAGUACCUACCUCGAUCAUCAUCUCAGCUCAGCUCAGUCUCAGCAUGAGCAACUACCAACUAGCUAGCUAGAGCUUCAGGUUGAGAUCAACCUGCCUCUGCUGGUGGCUGCCAGUCUCUCUUUGCCUUUGCCGCCGCACCACCGAGC